CACACACACACAAACACACACACACACACGCACACACACACACACACACACACACAAAUUCAAAGUUGUCCCAGAUGUUGUCAAGAAAUAAACCAAAUAGAAAUGUUGUCCAAAUUAGAAAUUACAAAAUGAAAACAAGAAUCACAG